rnacentral:rRNA from 1 species
GACGAACGCUGGCGGCGUGCUUAACACAUGCAAGUCGAACGAUGAACGCGGAGCUUGCUCCGGUGGAUGAGGGGCGAACGGGUGAGUAACACGUGAGUAACCUGCCCUUGACUCUGGGAUAACUGCGGGAAACUGUAGCUAAUACCGGAUACGACCCUCGGCGGCAUCGCCAGGGGGUGGAAAGAAUUUCGGUCAAGGAUGGACUCGCGGCCUAUCAGCUAGUUGGUGAGGUAACGGCUCACCAAGGCGACGACGGGUAGCCUGCCUGAUAGGGUGACCGGCCACACUGGGACUGAGACACGGCCCAGACUCCUACGGGAGGCAGCAGUGGGGAAUAUUGCACAAUGGGCGCAAGCCUGAUGCAGCAACGCCGCGUGAGGGAUGACGGCCUUCGGGUUGUAAACCUCUUUUAGUAGGGAAGAAGCGAAAGUGACGGUACCUGCAGAAAAAGCACCGGCUAACUACGUGCCAGCCGCCGCGGUAA